AUUCCCUCAUCUUUUCUCUAUUAAGAGCUCUGUUAGGGCACAGAGAUUCGCAGCCUCAAGGUUUUAGCUAGGUUCGUCCUACGCCCAACUCACCAUUUCUAUACGUGGAGUUAUUUUGGCCUUUGGUUGCAUUUCCUUAAGUCAUUGUUCCCAUUUGUUGCUCUCAAACCAGAUGGGGAAAAUCUUGGAAAUAGGCCUGAUGGUGGCAGCGGUGCAAUUUAGUGGGUUUGCUGUGUGUGGCUCUCAGGAGCAGUUCUAUGGCCCUAAUGCCUUCUGUAAUUUCUUGCUCUGGGAGCAUUGCUUUUGUAAAACUGAUAAGACUCCUUUAGAUUAUGUUUUGUUAGAGGCAAUUGUUUGAUGUGCCUCAAUACCUUUUGAGUACUUCCUGGAUGACUGUAAUGGUAGAUUAUU